CGAUGAUGAGGUAAACCAUAAAAUAGCUGGAAUUACCGGCAGACUGCAAGUGUUGAGAAAGGUUGAUCUGAGU